UACGUAGGGUGCGAGCGUUAAUCGGAAUUACUGGGCGUAAAGCGUGCGCAGGCGGCUUUGCAAGACAGAUGUGAAAUCCCCCGGGCUCAACCUGGGAACUGCAUUUGUGACUGCAAGGCUAGAGUACGGCAGAGGGGGAUGGAAUUCCGCGUGUAGCAGUGAAAUGCGUAGAUAUGCGGAGGAACACCAAUGCGAAGGCAAUCCCCUGGGCCUGUACUGACGCUCAUGCACGAAAGCGUGGGGGAGCAAAACAGGG
rnacentral:rRNA from 1 species